UACGUAGGGUGCGAGCGUUAAUCGGAAUUACUGGGCGUAAAGCGUGCGCAGGCGGUUUGCUAAGACAGGUGUGAAAUCCCCCGGGCUUAACCUGGGAACUGCGCUUGUAACUGGCAAGCUUGAGUGUGGAAGAGGAUAGUGGAAUUCCCGGUGUAGCGGUGAAAUGCGUAGAUAUCGGGGAGGAACAUCAGUGGCGAAGGCGGCUAUCUGGUCUAACACUGACACUGAGACACGAAAGCGUGGGGGAGCAAACAGG
rnacentral:rRNA from 1 species